UACAGCGGUCUCGAGCGUUAGGCGGAAUCACUGGGCUUAAAGCGUGUGUAGGCGGAUUGCUAAGUACCUUGUGAAAUCCCACGGCUUAACCGUGGAACUGCUUGGUAUACUGGCUGUCUUGAGCCACUUAGGGGCAACCGGAACAAACGGUGGAGCGGUGAAAUGCGUAGAUAUCGUUUGGAACGCCAAUGGUGAAAACAGGUUGCUGGGAGUGUGCUGACGCUGAGACACGAAAGCCAGGGGAGCAAACGGG
rnacentral:rRNA from 1 species